GUGGGGAAUAUUGGACAAUGGGCGAAAGCCUGAUCCAGCCAUGCCGCGUGUGUGAAGAAGGUCUUCGGAUUGUAAAGCACUUUAAGUUGGGAGGAAGGGCAGUAAGUUAAUACCUUGCUGUUUUGACGUUACCGACAGAAUAAGCACCGGCUAACUUCGUGCCAGCAGCCGCGGUAAUACGAAGGGUGCAAGCGUUACUCGGAAUUACUGGGCGUAAAGCGCGCGUAGGUGGUUUUGUAAGUUGGAGGUGAAAUCCCCGGGCUCAACCUUGGAACUGCCUCCAAAACUGCAUGACUAGAGUACGGUAGAGGGUAGUGGAAUUUCCUGUGUAGCGGUGAAAUGCGUAGAUAUAGGAAGGAACGCCAGUGGCGAAGGCGACUACCUGGACUGAUACUGACACGGAGGUGCGAAAGCGUGGGGAGCAAACAGGAUUAGAUACCCGUGUAGUCC
rnacentral:rRNA from 1 species